rnacentral:lncRNA from 1 species
CACUUUGGUUUUAUCAGUUAAUUUUCCAACUGUUUUUUUAUAUUCUCAUUAAAAUGUGUCGGUAUUUUGAUUGAAGCCUACUGAAUCACACAUUAGUUUGGCAAUAAUUUACAUUGUUAAAAUGUAUUUCCUUUUUUUAUAAUUUUUUAUUGUUAUUUCCCCAAUACAAUUUUUUUUCUGAGACUAGGUUUGUGAUUUGUCUAAAUACAGGUAGUCAGGGCUGGAAUAUGGGUUGCCUUUUUAAAAUGUUUGUGUUUUCCAUUGCACUAUACUCUCAUAACUCUUUUGUGGUCUUUAAAUAAAUAUAUGAUAGGAAUAAACAUGUUCAUAUUUGAAAUUUGUUUUAUGUGUGAGUGUAUAAAUUUUUCAUUUUUUAAAAAUAUUUGGUCUUGGAGUUCCCAUCAUGGCUCAGGUGUUAACGAACCCGACUAUCAUCCAUGAAGACACAGGUUCGAUCCCUGGCCUUGCUCAGUGGGUUAAGGUUCAGGCAUUGCUGUGAGCUGUGGUGUAGGUCACAGACACUGCUCGGAUCCCACAUUGCUGCGGCUCUGGCAUAGGCCGGCGGCUACAACUUCGAUUGGACCCCUAGCCUGUGAACCUCCAUAUGCCAUGGGUAUGGCCCUAAAAAGAAAAAAAGACAAAAAAAAUAAAAUAAAAUAUUUGGUCUUCUUAUCAGUAUUACUUGUGAAUAAAAAUUGAAAAGUCUUAAUAAAAUAUAGAUACACCAGACAUUUUUUUCAUGACCAAACUGGAUAUAUGGGUCAAUAUUUAAAUAGCAACAGAUAUAAUCACACCUUUUUUGCCAGUGGUACUCACCAUAGAACGUAUCAUAUAAUAUUAGGCUUUGCUCUGAGCUAUGGUAUUUGACAUUUUAAGAAGUAAUAAAAUAUUUAGAAUAGGAUCUAAAUUAUUCCACAUUAAUGAACAUAAAAUGAUCUAAUUGUUUUAGAAAAAUAGCCAAAACUCUCUAACUAAUAUGAGAUUUGAAAGAUAAUAAAACACAAACAAGUAUACAAAAUGGAGUUUGGAGUCAGGAAAUCUUGGUGCAUUUUAUAUAUUGAAAUAGGAGAAACACAAGGCUAAGCCUGAAAAAUGGCAUUCGAAUUUUAUAAACAAUAGAAAAUGUCACAAGAAACAUUUGAUCCUGGAAAGUGCUGAAAUCCUUAUUUUUUCUACUGUCUGAAUCCCUCAAGUGUAAAGUUAGAUUUCUCCUGAAGUCUCCUUUCCUAUUUACUUCAGGAAGGAAGUUGUCCUACCUUGGCCAACAGACCACAAUUAAUUUCAGGAGAGAGCUAAUUACUAUCUCCAUUAAACACAUCCAAACUCAAUACCAGACAAAUAAUUAUACUUCAGCAAAUGUCAUUUAGUUCCAUUUUUAAUACAGAGAUGAAGGAUUAAGUUAGCUCCAUCAAAUUCAUUACCACAUACAUAGACCUUUUACUGAAAUAACUGUACUAAUUAUGGAAACUUCUCUGUAAUUUGUAUAGAGCAUAUUGAACAUCAGAUUAAUUUCUACACUAGUCUUCAAGAACAUAAAAAUUAGACUUUAUUACUACCUGGAAGAAAUCAACCCCCAUUGAUUGUUGGGAAAUCAAUGGGGGUUACAUUAAAAUAGGUAAGCAGGAGUUCCCUUCAUGGCUCAGUGGUUAACGAAUCUGACUAGCAUCCAUAAGGAUGCAGGUUUGAUCCCUGACCUUGCUCAGUGGGUUAAGGAUCUGGUGUUGCCAUGGGCUGUGGUGUAGGUCGCUGCUGGAGACCCCUGAACUGCCGAACUCUGUAGAAGGCAAACGUGGCUCACGUGCAAAAGCACCACAAGCUAAGGAAUGCUGAUGCAGAGUUCUAAGGUACAGGGUCUCCUUCAAAGACAAGAUAAGGGAGUUAUGCAUUAACCAGGAGCAGCUGCACUAUCCCCUAGAGGGAUGCACCUGUAACUAGUUUCUUUUUUAUUCAGUAAGAGAUGGCUUUGUCAUUGCCUGCACCUGAUUUUGCUCUUUUCCCUACAUUACCUUCCCUCAUAAAAGUCAUGAGGGCUAAAGCCUAGGCACCUUUGUCCUGCAGAACAGAGUGCCUCCUGGUCCGCCACUUUCUAAAUGUAAAAGAGUCUUGUGUGUUUUGUCAUACACGUCGCCCCUCUUUCAGGAUCUCCCUUUGCCCUGCAGCGCGGGACGUGAAAGGUCGCAGACCUGUCUCAGAUCCUGCGUUGCUAUGGCUGUGGUGUGGGCUGGCAGGUACAGCUCUGAUUAGACCCUUAGCCUGGGACUCUUCAUAUGCCGCAGGUGCAGCACACCCCCCCCCCAAAAAAAAAAAAAAAAAAACGUAAGCAAUGAGGUCCUUCAGUGUAGCACAGGGAACUAUAUCCGAUCUCUUGGGAUAGAACAUGAUGGAAGAGAAUAUAAGAAAAAGAAUGUAUAUCUAUCUAUGACUGGGUCAUUCAGCUGUCAGAAGAAAUUGACACAACACAGUAAAUCAACUGUACUCUAAUAAAAAUAAUUUUUAAAAAAUAUGUUAGGAGCAGUUAGUGAUUGGUUUGGGGUCUCAGACCUCCAUUCUCACUUCACAAGCUCAGCCUGGGCUUCACGGAUGUGAUACUUUCCUACAUGGGCCUGGCACUGAACCAGCCUCUAUUCCAGAAAAGUCCCUUUUCCAGAGAUGAAGACUGAUGCAGACACAGAUGCUGAUGCAUUCCAUUUCCGUUCCAUGAUUAUUCCAUUCUAUGUUCUGAGUAGAAAAUACUCACCUGACUCCUUUCUUCUGCCAGGACAGUGGACUCCGUGUGACAGUCAUGAUGCCCUCUGCUUGUCUGAGAAGGAAGCAGCCAGGCCAUGAGAUACGGGAUUGUAAUUCUGUGACCUCACGCCCCCAACGAAAUACAGUUAUCACUCUACCGGUACAUUCGAUGACACUGCACAAUUAGGCAUUUGAGACUAUGUCUCCAAAAGUUCUUCCCCAGUUCUCAAUUCCCAGAAAUGAUUAAAUGUUUCUACCUAGCAUCUCCAAAAAGACAGGGUAAGUGUUUGGGAGAAGUUUUUCAUUUUCAGUAACACCUGGAGGCUGGCAGCCUCUCACAUGGUGAAAACAGAAAAAUUUGAGAUUUGACAGAAAGAGAUUAGCAAUGAAACACACAUAUUUAACUGGAUCUUGUACUUCC